GACGAACGCUGGCGGCGUGCCUAAUACAUGCAAGUUGAGCGAUGAAGAUUGGUGCUUGCACCAAUUUGAAGAGCAGCGAACGGGUGAGUAACGCGUGGGGAAUCUGCCUUUGAGCGGGGGACAACAUUUGGAAACGAAUGCUAAUACCGCAUAAUAACUUUUAACAUAAGUUUUAAGUUUGAAAGAUGCAAUUGCAUCACUCAAAGAUGAUCCCGCGUUGUAUUAGCUAGUUGGUGAGGUAAAGGCUCACCAAGGCGAUGAUACAUAGCCGACCUGAGAGGGUGAUCGGCCACAUUGGGACUGAGACACGGCCCAAACUCCUACGGGAGGCAGCAGUAGGGAAUCUUCGGCAAUGGACGAAAGUCUGACCGAGCAACGCCGCGUGAGUGAAGAAGGUUUUCGGAUCGUAAAACUCUGUUGGUAGAGAAGAACGUUGGUGAGAGUGGAAAGCUCAUCAAGUGACGGUAACUACCCAGAAAGGGACGGCUAACUACGUG
rnacentral:rRNA from 1 species